rnacentral:rRNA from 1 species
CCUACGGGAGGCAGCAGUGGGGAAUAUUGGACAAUGGGGGCAACCCUGAUCCAGCCAUGCCUCGUGUGUGAAGAAGGCCCUCGGGUUGUAAAGCACUGUCAGUGAGGAAGAACGCCUGGUGGUUAAUACCCAUCAGGAAAGACAUCACUCACAGAAGAAGCACCGGCUAACUCCGUGCCAGCAGCCGCGGUAAUACGGAGGGUGCGAGCGUUAAUCGGAAUUACUGGGCGUAAAGCGCGCGUAGGUGGCUUGAUAAGCCGGUUGUGAAAGCCCCGGGCUCAACCUGGGAACGGCAUCCGGAACUGUCAAGCUAGAGUGCAGGAGAGGAAGGUAGAAUUCCCGGUGUAGCGGUGAAAUGCGUAGAGAUCGGGAGGAAUACCAGUGGCGAAGGCGGCCUUCUGGACUGACACUGACACUGAGGUGCGAAAGCGUGGGUAGCAAACAGGAUUAGAUACCCCUGUAGUC